CCUCUUUGCGGGGGCCGGAUUCCACCCUAUAUCUAACAACGUCGGGCAACCGACUAUGGCGAUAAACGCUGUGUGGAAUAGACGUUACGGACCCGGGGGCGGUACCCGGCGCCUCCACCAUUCCUGCCCACCAGGGCAUCCGAUGGGGGCGAAACAGGAUCGACGUGCGUGGUAAAGGCAUGGUUUUCGCUCGGCAUGGUUCCGCCGUUACCGGGCCAUACUCACAGGUGCCAACGACAACGUUGCACCCGCUCUGAAGGCCGCUGCCUAACCACCCGCUAGGGUGUUAGGGCACUAGCUCAAGAACGCGGUUCGGGGGGCACCGGGCAACAGAAGCCCCCCACU
rnacentral:tmRNA from 1 species